UACGUAGGGUGCGAGCGUUGUCCGGAAUUACUGGGCGUAAAGCGUGCGCAGGCGGUUCGCUGUGUCCUGUGUGAAAGCCCCGGGCUUAACCUGGGAAUGGCAUGGGAAACUGGCGGGCUGGAGUGUGGCAGAGGGGGGUGGAAUUCCGCGUGUAGCAGUGAAAUGCGUAGAGAUGCGGAGGAACACCGAUGGCGAAGGCAGCCCCCUGGGCUAACACUGACGCUCAGGCACGAAAGCGUGGGGAGCAAACAGG
rnacentral:rRNA from 1 species